rnacentral:rRNA from 1 species
AGUCGACGAUGAUCCCAGCUUGCUGGGGGAUUAGUGGCGAACGGGUGAGUAACACGUGAGUAACCUGCCCUUAACUCUGGGAUAAGCCUGGGAAACUGGGUCUAAUACCGGAUAUGACUCCUCAUCGCAUGGUGGGGGGUGGAAAGCUUUAUUGUGGUUUUGGAUGGACUCGCGGCCUAUCAGCUUGUUGGUGAGGUAAUGGCUCACCAAGGCGACGACGGGUAGCCGGCCUGAGAGGGUGACCGGCCACACUGGGACUGAGACACGGCCCAGACUCCUACGGGAGGCAGCAGUGGGGAAUAUUGCACAAUGGGCGAAAGCCUGAUGCAGCGACGCCGCGUGAGGGAUGACGGCCUUCGGGUUGUAAACCUCUUUCAGUAGGGAAGAAGCGAAAGUGACGGUACCUGCAGAAGAAGCGCCGGCUAACUACGUGCCAGCAGCCGCGGUAAUACGUAGGGCGCAAGCGUUAUCCGGAAUUAUUGGGCGUAAAGAGCUCGUAGGCGGUUUGUCGCGUCUGCCGUGAAAGUCCGGGGCUCAACUCCGGAUCUGCGGUGGGUACGGGCAGACUAGAGUGAUGUAGGGGAGACUGGAAUUCCUGGUGUAGCGGUGAAAUGCGCAGAUAUCAGGAGGAACACCGAUGGCGAAGGCAGGUCUCUGGGCAUUAACUGACGCUGAGGAGCGAAAGCAUGGGGAGCGAACAGGAUUAGAUACCCUGGUAGUCCAUGCCGUAAACGUUGGGCACUAGG